rnacentral:lncRNA from 1 species
GAAACCUACUUGCAGCAUAGCUAAGUAAGUGCUUAAAUAAAGCUCAUAAGCCAAAGGGCAGUGAGAGGUUCCAGGUGAGGCCAUUCAGUCAGGUCAUGACAAAUUCCUUCAUUUGUGGCAUCCUUGUAUUAAUAGCAGACCUACAGGGAAGCUGUCAGGACACCGACACAGUGUUUUAGAAUUGAGACAAAUGAAAAACAUCAGCAUGUUAUCGGCCUUUCUUCUGCAAAGGUAAAAUUGUUUCCUUAACUUCAUGGAAAUCAAUGUUAUAAACGCAAGUCGUAAUGUGUUUUUGAGUAAGUAUCUCUGGUA